AGCCCGCUCAGGUGUGCCCAGCCGCCGCGGUAAUACGGAGGAUGCGAGCGUUAUCCGGAUUUAUUGGGUUUAAAGGGUGCGUAGGUGGUUAAUUAAGUCAGCGGUUGAAAGUUUGUGGCUCAACCAUAAAAUUGCCGUUGAAACUGGUUGACUUGAGUAUAUUUGAGGUAGGCGGAAUGCGUGGUGUAGCGGUGAAAUGCAUAGAUAUCACGCAGAACUCCGAUUGCGAAGGCAGCUUACUAAACUAUAACUGACACUGAAGCACGAAAGCGUGGGGAUCAAACAGG
rnacentral:rRNA from 1 species